GCAAGUCGAGCGCGCCCUUCGGGGUGAGCGGCGGACGGGUGAGUAACGCGUGGGAAUAUGCCCUUCUCUAAGGAAUAGCCUCUGGAAACGGAGAGUAAUACCGUAUACGCCCUACGGGGGAAAGAUUUAUCGGUGAAGGAUUAGCCCGCGUUGGAUUAGGUAGUUGGUGGGGUAAUGGCCCACCAAGCCGACGAUCCAUAGCUGGUUUGAGAGGAUGAUC
rnacentral:rRNA from 1 species